GAACAAUGUAGGUAAGGGAAGUCGGCAAGUUCGAUCCGUAACUUCGGGACAAGGAUUGGCUCUGAGGACUGGGCCCGUCGGGCUGGGGUCCGAAACGGGUGUGGCACUGCACCGGGACUGUGCGAGACUGGCCGUGAAAGCGGUCCGGUCCGGCCCCGACCAGCGUCGGGGCCUUCCCGUGGAAUGCCUCAGCUGCGCGGCGCACCGGGUACAAAGCUCGGAACGACCGUUUCGGCGGGCAACUAACAGCCGACUCAGAACUAGCACGGACUAAGGGAAUCCGACUGUCUAUAACAGAAACACAUCCCCAAGAAGGACGAUAACUUCUUAGCCGUAUUUGGCUCUGGAUAACUUUUAAUCGCUAAAAUUUUCGAAUUGUCAGUUUCUAUACCGUUUUUC
rnacentral:ncRNA from 1 species